GUUGGCUUCAUGAGGAUAAUGAGGAGGAGUGUGAUUAAUAAUAAUAUCUGCAUUUUUAAAAGAAUAAGAGCUCCAGGUCUGGCAUCAGAGCCCCUGGGUUCAAAUUCAUCUCCACCAUUUACUGAUUAUGAGAUUCGUCUCAGUUUUUUUUUUUUAAUUUCCAAAAUAGAAACAAUAUCUAACCCAUUGGGCAGUUAGGAGAAUUAUUAUUUCUUUCUGUCUGUCUUCUUUUUUUGCAGCUUUGGUGAUGGAAGUCAGGCCUUUGUGCAUUGUUAGGAGAAUUAGAUGAGAUAAUUCAUAUAAAGCAUUUAACUCAGAGGUAACUGCCAUAUAUAAAUGAUAAAUAAGUGAGAUAUAUACAAUGUGGGUCCCCUGCCUUUUUGAAGUCUGUAACCAAAUGUUACUUUUUAGAAUUUUUGAUCUUGGUAUUCAUUAUUUCCUUUGGUUCUUAAAGCUCUGCAGAGGUAGCUGAUAGGGGAAGUUGGGGGACUCAUGUUUUUCAGGCAAGGAAAUUGAGAGUCAAAGAAUACUGGCUCGCUGGUGGAAAAGGUUGGAUUAAGAUCCAGCUCUCCUGAUAACUAGUUCUUUCUACCUGGCCUUUCUACUGAGUGGCCAGAUGUGGUGCAGAUGAGGACUUGGAAAAUCACAGACCAGACUUAAAAAGCAGUUCUACUAUUUACUGAGCCUGCACAAACAGAUCAAAGUUGAAGGUCCCUGAGCUUCAUUUUCUCAACUGCUAUAAAGAAAUAUAAAUUUUCAGGCAUUACUUAAGGUUUUUAAAACCGGAAUUUAAUCAAAGCUGGUUAGAGUAAAAUAAACACGCUCGUAUGUGCACUCUCAUUUUCUCAUGAGGAAAAUCUCAACUACUGAAAAAUCUUGAUGCACAAGGUCACACAUCACAAUAUUGUCUGAAUAAUGCAAUUUCGAAGCAAAUGACAUAUCCAAUAACAGGGAAGUAGAAAAAUAAAUUGUGAUAUAUCCACAUGAUGGGAUCAUAUAUGGCCAUUAAAAUGAUGUUCACAAAGUUUAUAACACAAAAAUUACUGUUUGGUCGAUACUUCAUGCCUUGUCUCCCUCUUUGAAGUUAUUAUUUCAUUUUAAUCAAAGUUAUUCAUGGCUUAAAGAGGCAGAUAGUUCCAAGAGACUUGGUGGAACCCAGGGGCACUUAACCACUGAGGCAUAUCCUCAGCCCUUUUUAAUAUUUUAUUUAGAGAAAGGGUCUCAUUGAAUUGCUUAGGACUUUGCUAAGUUGCUGAGGCUGCCUUUGAACUUGCAAUCUCUCUGCCUCAGCCUCCCAAGCUGCUGGGAUUAUGAGUGUGAGCCACCAUGCCUGGCUUGGAUUUUUUUGACACUCAGAAAAAUGGAGCAGAAAAAGACCAGGUGACACUUUGCCUGGGCUUUUCUUGCUAGUACUGAGGAGUAAGGCUGGGAAACCCUCCCCAAGGUUGUCCCACAGGAGUGGAGCCCAUGUUCUCUCUCUACCAUGAAAUGUUCAAGGAAGAGACAGUGUUGCUCUCCUAAUGUCUGCAAAAGUGUGAAGUGGCAGGGAGAAGUGUUUCUAGUUUCAGGGUGAGUGGAAAAGGAAGGUGGUGGGGUUUCCGUUAGAUCAAGGGCCAGGAAGAAAGCAACAACUAUUAUAUCCAUGGUGAUUUCAGGAGGGUGGAAUUAUGAAUAAUCUUAUCCUUUUUCCUAAUUUUUCCCAAAUUUCUAUGAUGCCUAUUCCUUUCUUUUAUCGUGGAUGAAAUCUUUGGUUCUAAAGGGUUGAUGAAAAUCCUAUUGACUCCCCGCAAUUAUUAUAAGGCACAGAGCCUGCUACAUAGGCGUUAGCCACCUGGAAGUGGCAGUUUCCUUUCUUCGUCCAGCCCUAGCCACCACUGUGGUUUCUGCACA
rnacentral:lncRNA from 1 species